rnacentral:rRNA from 1 species
AUUGAACGCUGGCGGAAUGCUUUACACAUGCAAGUCGAACGGUAGAGGGGGCAACCCCUCGAGAGUGGCGAACGGGUGAGUAAUAUAUCGGAACGUGCCCAGUCGUGGGGGAUGACGUAGCGAAAGUUACGCUAAUACCGCAUACGAUCUAAGGAUGAAAGCAGGGGAUCGCAAGACCUCGCGCGAUUGGAGCGGCCGAUAUCAGAUUAGGUAGUUGGUGGGGUAAAGGCUCACCAAGCCAACGAUCUGUAGCUGGUCUGAGAGGACGACCAGCCACACUGGAACUGAGACGCGGUCCAGACUCCUACGGGAGGCAGCAGUGGGGAAUUUUGGACAAUGGACGCAAGUCUGAUCCAGCCAUUCCGCGUGCAGGAUGAAGGCCCUCGGGUUGUAAACUGCUUUUGUACGGAACGAAAAGGUCUCUCUUAAUACGGGGGGCUCAUGACGGUACCGUAAGAAUAAGCACCGGCUAACUACGUGCCAGCCGCCGCCGUAA